CCCUUAGAUGUUCUGGGCCGCACGCGCGCUACACUGAUGCAUUCAACGAGCCUAUCCUUGACCGACAGGUCCGGGUAAUCUUUGAAUCUGCAUCGUGACGGGGAUAGAUUAUUGCAAUUAUUAAUCUCCAACGAGGAAUGCCUAGUAGGCGCAAGUCAUCAGCUUGCGUCGAUUACGUCCCUGCCCUUUGUACACACCGCCCGUCGCUCCUACCGAUUGGGUGUGCUGGUGAAAUGUUCGGAUCGGCCGUUUGUCGCGGUUUCCGCGGCUCGUGGCUGAGAAGUUCAUUAAACCCUCCCACCUAGAGGAAGGAGAAGUCGUAACA
rnacentral:rRNA from 1 species